UGCUACAAGAGGGGGUUAUAUAUCCAUGGAGCGGUGCCAGGUGAAAUGAAUAAGUAUGUUUACUGAGCCUAUAGCGAUCACAGACACAUGAUCGGGAUGUGUCGGGAUAUGGUAUCAGUGCACUUGCAGCUGUGGUAUAUCUUCAAGAACUAUCAGGUCUUCUCCUUUGCCUCAUAUGGAAUCCCCGCGAUUAAUUAGCCUCUUUUCUGAAAAAGCCUCUUUUCUGAAAUGAAAGCAGUUCAUACUAGGUUGAGUUGGUUCUUACUACAAACUAACAAAUAUUUUCACCAUGGAAGGUAGUGCCGCCCUUAAUUAGCCGUGGAAAUAGGUAAAUGUUUAUCUUAAUAUCAAGAGACCAAUGUCAGUGACCUAAAGAUUAACCUCAAUAUGUAGUUUCGUUUGUCAUAUGGACUAACCUGUCAAAUGACCUUCUGUAGAAUGGCAUUCUCUUGUAUGAUCUUUUCUGUAUGAACCUUGAAGUGGAAAAUGAAACAAUGGUGAUGUAUCGUAAACCAUGUUAUCUUGUUUCAAAUUAUA
rnacentral:lncRNA from 1 species